rnacentral:piRNA from 8 species
GACGAGGUGGCCGAGUGGUUAAGGCAAUGG